AUUGAACGCUGGCGGCAUGCCUUACACAUGCAAGUCGAACGGCAGCGGGGACUUCGGUCCGCCGGCGAGUAGCGAACGGGUGAGUAAUGUAUCGGAACGUACCUUUCAGUGGGGGAUAACGUAGCGAAAGUUACGCUAAUACCGCAUAUUCUCUGAGAAGGAAAGCAGGGGACCUUCGGGCCUUGUGCUGAUGGAGCGGCCGAUAUCAGAUUAGCUAGUUGGUGAGGUAAAGGCUCACCAAGGCAACGAUCUGUAGCGGGGCUGAGAGGAUGAUCCGCCACACUGGGACUGAGACACGGCCCAGACUCCUACGGGAGGCAGCAGUGGGGAAUUUUGGACAAUGGGCGCAAGCCUGAUCCAGCCAUGCCGCGUGAGUGAAGAAGGCCUUCGGGUUGUAAAGCUCUUUCGGACGGGAAGAAAUUGGUGGGGCUAAUAUCCCCAUCGGAUGACGGUGCCGUAAUAAGAAGCACCGGCUAACUACGUGCCAGCCGCCGCCGUAAGAC
rnacentral:rRNA from 1 species